rnacentral:lncRNA from 1 species
UUAGAAAGCACAAGUUUUCCUCUUUCCACUCACUCCACGUUGCCUAAACCGCGGUUUCCUCUUCCCGGCGGCGCUGGGACUGCGGCAGCUGAGGCGCGCUCCGCUCCCGGGAACCUCGGGCCUUGGCGCGCCAUUUUCCGUCGCGCAGUUAGUUGCCGGGGCGUCCUGAGACCUUUUGAUCGGGUCCCUUUCGUCUCUAGGCCCCUCGGCGAUCUCCGAUCAGACUCACCCACCAGAGCACCGCCACAAAGGUCCGGGGAAGAAACCUCUCACCUCCCUGGAGUCUCAGCUCAGCGUUUGGGAAGGAACCGUUUAAAAACCCAGGAGCAGAAUAAUCUUGGGGAGAAGGGAAAAGCAGUUGUAACAUCCCCACGUGGCAAUAAAGAUGAAAACCUCGUGAAGUCCUGCUCGUCUCAUCAACAGGUGAUCGAAGGACAUUCACGAUCUUGGUGCAAAUGUGUUGGCGCUGUGGGACGAGCGUCGUUGGACAACUUUCAAACCACAGCGCCAGGGCAGCCAAGCAUCCUGACGACCGGAAGUGCCUGUGGGGAAGCUGGACUUGCACUUAGAUUGCACUUGGAGACCUCCAGCCUCCUCUAACCCAGGCCUCUUAAGGAAUGUGAAUCAAUAAGUGGCAUAAAUUAUUCACCUCAAGGAACAUUCUCAGAAAUGAACGUCAGACUGGAGAAAUCGCCAGCAGGGUAUUCGCUCUUUUCAGUGUUUGGCUCUCGGCUCACCUUCUGAAUGGCUGGGCCUGUCUAAGCUAUGAAACAUUCAGAUUUCAGAGAAGAAUGAUGACUCUAAGUUGUGCUGAGAUUUCAAGGCAACUCUGAGUUUCCUUUUCAGCCUCUUCCGCAGGGUCAGGGAAAGAGCGUGUGGGCACAGUGUCAUUGUGGGCAAUGCCAUAGGACCCCUCUGUGCCGUGAUCUCAGGGUCUGGAAAGGACCUGUCCUCUGUUCAAACAGGCCUUUUCUCCUUGCUGGCUGAGAUAUCAGAAAUUCAACCCCUCUCUUAAAACCAUUCCAAGGGCUUUGCCUCUUUGGAAGGCUCCUUUCAAACUGCAAAGCCUCAGGAGGGGAGGAGAGGAAAAUUAAAAUGUAUUGAACACCUUCUGGGAUUUUUUUUCAUUGUCACUCAUCCUCCCCCACAAAAUAGAUAUGCUUUGCAAACUUGCUUUGUUAGUUUUUUCUUUUAAAUUGUUGGAAGUUCCUUUCCAUAUGCUGCAGGUGUGGCCCUAAGAAAACAUAACAAAUAAACAAACAAAAAAGACACA